UGGGGAAUAUUGCACAAUGGGCGCAAGCCUGAUGCAGCCAUGCCGCGUGUAUGAAGAAGGCCUUCGGGUUGUAAAGUACUUUCAGCGAGGAGGAAGGUGUUGUGGUUAAUAACCGCAGCAAUUGACGUUACUCGCAGAAGAAGCACCGGCUAACUCCGUGCCAGCAGCCGCGGUAAUACGGAGGGUGCAAGCGUUAAUCGGAAUUAUUGGGCGUAAAGCGCACGCAGGCGGUCUGUCAAGUCGGAUGUGAAAUCCCCGGGCUCAACCUGGGAACUGCAUCCGAAACUGGCAGGCUAGAGUCUUGUAGAGGGGGGUAGAAUUCCAGGUGUAGCGGUGAAAUGCGUAGAGAUCUGGAGGAAUACCGGUGGCGAAGGCGGCCCCCUGGACAAAGACUGACGCUCAGGUGCGAAAGCGUGGGGAGCAAACA
rnacentral:rRNA from 1 species